AGAUGGUCCGCCUCUCGUGGAGUUGGAGUGCCCUCUGCUGUCCAAGAGAAGAAGUGCUCUUGCAGAUAGCUUCCGCCCAUGCUUUCUCCAGGUAAAGUAAAACCUCUAAAAUGCUCCUUAGAAAACCAGAUAGACGCCCUCAGAAGAUCGCGGAGCUUCUGGCUUCACACAACUGUGGGGGUUUUGACUCUUAAGGAAAUCCCAUCGAGGCUGAGUAUGCGCUGAGACCAGAACCUAUGUGGAGGGUUCAAAUAAAAGUCAGUGGAAGCUGUUAUCCAUGUCAACGUUGAACCAGAAGAUGGAGAGGCUGUGUUGGGAUGGAGCGGCACUUUCAGAGUUCAUCAAAGCAAAAAUAUGGACCAAGGUA